rnacentral:rRNA from 1 species
GAUUGAACGCUGGCGGUAUGCUUAACACAUGCAAGUCGAACGGAAACGAUACUAGCUUGCUAGUAGGCGUCGAGUGGCGGACGGGUGAGUAACGCGUAGGAAUCUGCCUGAUAGUGGGGGAUAGCCCGAAGAAAUUCGGAUUAAUACCGCAUAAUCUAUUCGUAGUAAAGUGGGGGACUUUCGAGCCUCACGCUAUCAGAUGAGCCUGCGUAAGAUUAGCUAGUUGGUAGGGUAAAAGCCUACCAAGGCAACGAUCUUUAGCUGGUCUGAGAGGAUGAUCAGCCACAUCGGGACUGAGACACGGCCCGAACUCCUACGGGAGGCAGCAGUGGGGGAUAUUGGACAAUGGGGGCAACCCUGAUCCAGCAAUACCGCGUGUGUGAAGAAGGCCUGAGGGUUGUAAAGCACUUUCAAUUGUGAAGAAAAGUUAACGGUUAAUAACCGUUAGCCUUGACGUUAACUUUAGAAGAAGCACCGGCUAACUCCGUGCCAGCAGCCGCGGUAAUACGGAGGGUGCAAGCGUUAAUCGGAAUUACUGGGCGUAAAGCGUGCGUAGGCGGUUUAUUAAGUCAGAUGUGAAAGCCCCGGGCUUAACCUGGGAACUGCAUUUGAAACUGGUCAACUAGAGUAUGGUAGAGGAAAGUGGAAUUUCUGGUGUAGCGGUGAAAUGCGUAGAUAUCAGAAGGAACAUCAAUGGCGAAGGCAGCUUUCUGGACCAAUACUGACGCUGAGGUACGAAAGCGUGGGUAGCAAACAGGAUUAGAUACCCUGGGUAGUCCACGCCGUAAACGAUGAUAACUAGCCGUUGGAGGGAUUUACCCUUUAGUGGCGAAGCUAACGCGUUAAGUUAUCCGCCUGGGGAGUACGGCCGCAAGGUUAAAACUCAAAGGAAUUGACGGGGACCCGCACAAGCGGUGGAGCAUGUGGUUUAAUUCGAUGCAACGCGAAGAACCUUACCUGGUCUUGACAUCCUGCGAACUUUCUAGAAAUAGAUUGGUGCCUUCGGGAACGCAGUGACAGGUGCUGCAUGGCUGUCGUCAGCUCGUGUCGUGAGAUGUUGGGUUAAGUCCCGUAACGAGCGCAACCCCUAUCCUUAUUUGCCAGCACGUCAUGGUGGGAACUAUAAGGAGACUGCCGGUGAUAAACCGGAGGAAGGCGGGGACGACGUCAAGUCAUCAUGGCCCUUACGACCAGGGCUACACACGUGCUACAAUGGGAAGGACAAAGAGCCGCGAAGCCGCGAGGUGUAGCUAAUCUCAGAAACCUUUUCGUAGUCCGGAUUGGAGUCUGCAACUCGACUCCAUGAAGUCGGAAUCGCUAGUAAUCGUAGAUCAGAAUGCUACGGUGAAUACGUUCCCGGGUCUUGUACACACCGC